AUUGAACGCUGGCGGCCGGCUUAACACAUGCCAGUCGAGCGAGCGGCGGACGGGUGAGUAAUGUCUGGGAAACUGCCUGAUGGCGGGGGAUAACUACUGGAAAAGGUAGCUAAUACCGCAUACCAUCAGAUGUGCCCCGAUGGGAUUAGCUAGUAGGUGGGGUAAUGGCGCACCUAGGCGACGAUCCCUCGCUGGUCUGAGAGGAUGACCAGCCACACUGUAACGGAGACACGGUCCAGACUCCUACGGUAGGCAGCAGUGGGGAAUAUUGCACAAUGGGCGCAAGCCUGAUGCAGCCAUGCCGCGGGUGUGAAGAAGGCCUUCGGGUUGUAAAGCACUUUCAGCGAGGAGGCGUUACUCGCAGAAGAAGCACCGGCUAACCCCGUGCCAGCAGCCGAGGUAAUAC
rnacentral:rRNA from 1 species